CCCUAAUAAGCGUAUUAUAAGUACCACUAUCUGGAAGAGGCCCGUCUUCUUUCAUUUUUCUGAAUA
rnacentral:sRNA from 1 species